GGGUUGUGAGGUUAAGCGACUAAGCGUACACGGUGGAUGCCCUGGCAGUCAGAGGCGAUGAAGGACGUGCUAAUCUGCGAUAAGCGUCGGUAAGGUGAUAUGAACCGUUAUAACCGGCGAUUUCCGAAUGGGGAAACCCAGUGUGAUUCGUCACACUAUCAUUACGUGAAUACAUAGCGUAAUGAAGCGAACCGGGGGAACUGAAACAUCUAAGUACCCCGAGGAAAAGAAAUCAACCGAGAUUCCCCCAGUAGCGGCGAGCGAACGGGGAGCAGCCCAGAGUCUGAAUCAGCUUGUGUGUUAGUGGAACGGUCUGGAAAGUCCGACGGUACAGGGUGAUAGUCCCGUACACCAAAAUGCACAGGUUGUGAACUCGAAGAGUAGGGCGGGACACGUGGUAUCCUGUCUGAAUAUGGGGGGACCAUCCUCCAAGGCUAAAUACUCCUGACUGACCGAUAGUGAACCAGUACCGUGAGGGAAAGGCGAAAAGAACCCCGGCGAGGGGAGUGAAAAAGAACCUGAAACCGUGUACGUACAAGCAGUGGGAGCCUCUUUAUGGGGUGACUGCGUACCUUUUGUAUAAUGGGUCAGCGACUUAUAUUCUGUAGCAAGGUUAACCGUAUAGGGGAGCCGAAGGGAAACCGAGUCUUAACUGGGCGUUAAGUUGCAGGGUAUAGACCCGAAACCCGGUGAUCUAGCCAUGGGCAGGUUGAAGGUUGGGUAACACUAACUGGAGGACCGAACCGACUAAUGUUGAAAAAUUAGCGGAUGACUUGUGGCUGGGGGUGAAAGGCCAAUCAAACCGGGAGAUAGCUGGUUCUCCCCGAAAGCUAUUUAGGUAGCGCCUCGUGAAUUCAUCUUCGGGGGUAGAGCACUGUUUCGGCUAGGGGGUCAUCCCGACUUACCAACCCGAUGCAAACUGCGAAUACCGAAGAAUGUUAUCACGGGAGACACACGGCGGGUGCUAACGUCCGUCGUGAAGAGGGAAACAACCCAGACCGCCAGCUAAGGUCCCAAAGUCAUGGUUAAGUGGGAAACGAUGUGGGAAGGCACAGACAGCCAGGAUGUUGGCUUAGAAGCAGCCAUCAUUUAAAGAAAGCGUAAUAGCUCACUGGUCGAGUCGGCCUGCGCGGAAGAUGUAACGGGGCUAAACCAUGCACCGAAGCUGCGGCAGCGACACUAUGUGUUGUUGGGUAGGGGAGCGUUCUGUAAGCCGUUGAAGGUGUAUCGUGAGGUAUGCUGGAGGUAUCAGAAGUGCGAAUGCUGACAUAAGUAACGAUAAUGCGGGUGAAAAACCCGCACGCCGGAAGACCAAGGGUUCCUGUCCAACGUUAAUCGGGGCAGGGUGAGUCGACCCCUAAGGCGAGGCCGAAAGGCGUAGUCGAUGGGAAACAGGUUAAUAUUCCUGUACUUGGUGUUACUGCGAAGGGGGGACGGAGAAGGCUAUGUUAGCCGGGCGACGGUUGUCCCGGUUUAAGCAUGUAGGCGGAGGUUCCAGGUAAAUCCGGUACCUUUUUAACGCUGAGGUGUGAUGACGAGGCACUACGGUGCUGAAGUAACAAAUGCCCUGCUUCCAGGAAAAGCCUCUAAGCAUCAGGUAACACGAAAUCGUACCCCAAACCGACACAGGUGGUCAGGUAGAGAAUACCAAGGCGCUUGAGAGAACUCGGGUGAAGGAACUAGGCAAAAUGGUGCCGUAACUUCGGGAGAAGGCACGCUGAUAUGUAGGUGAAGUGAUUUACUCAUGGAGCUGAAAUCAGUCGAAGAUACCAGCUGGCUGCAACUGUUUAUUAAAAACACAGCACUGUGCAAACACGAAAGUGGACGUAUACGGUGUGACGCCUGCCCGGUGCCGGAAGGUUAAUUGAUGGGGUUAUCCGUAAGGAGAAGCUCUUGAUCGAAGCCCCGGUAAACGGCGGCCGUAACUAUAACGGUCCUAAGGUAGCGAAAUUCCUUGUCGGGUAAGUUCCGACCUGCACGAAUGGCGUAAUGAUGGCCAGGCUGUCUCCACCCGAGACUCAGUGAAAUUGAACUCGCUGUGAAGAUGCAGUGUACCCGCGGCAAGACGGAAAGACCCCGUGAACCUUUACUAUAGCUUGACACUGAACACUGGUCCUUGAUGUGUAGGAUAGGUGGGAGGCUUUGAAGUGUGGACGCCAGUCUGCAUGGAGCCAUCCUUGAAAUACCACCCUUUAAUGGCUGGUGUUCUAACGUGGACCCGUAAUCCGGGUUGCGGACAGUGUCUGGUGGGUAGUUUGACUGGGGCGGUCUCCUCCUAAAGAGUAACGGAGGAGCACGAAGGUUAGCUAAUCCUGGUCGGACAUCAGGAGGUUAGUGCAAAGGCAUAAGCUAGCUUGACUGCGAGAGUGACGGCUCGAGCAGGUGCGAAAGCAGGUCUUAGUGAUCCGGUGGUUCUGAAUGGAAGGGCCAUCGCUCAACGGAUAAAAGGUACUCCGGGG
rnacentral:rRNA from 1 species